UGAACUCUACGUCUCAGGUUCCUUGACAGAACAGCUGAGGCGACCUGCAGGGCUUGGAAGGAAGCUCGUUUGUUCUGGGUCUAAGAAAGGACACCCUCAAAGCCAAGGCAUAAAGCUGAUGCUGAGGAGAGACCCAACACGUGGGGACACAAAGAAGUUGGCAGAGCACAUGGCUAGAAAGAAAGCAGGCAGUGUUGAUGGAGGGUCUGCCCGGGAACACAGUGGGCUCUGGGGCAUCUGUCAUCAGUGUCCUCUGCUCUGCCUAGCAACGAGUGGGCAGGUGCUCACUACCCUGUGUGGGGAACGCACGAGCAGACCGCUGCCUGACUCACCUGGUUGUCGAUUUUCAGUUCGACCAGAGAAGUGUUGUGGGGGAGAGCUUCCACCAGGCACAGGAUCCCAGCUCCGGAGAUGAAGUUGGACUCGACAUUCAGCGUCUUCAACACCUUGUUCACCUUCAGCAUUUCAGCAAGAGCCUUGACGGCAAGAGAAAAGCAGGGCCUCCUGAAUGCCCUUGGGCAAGGGUUGAGCAGACCCACAACCACACCAAGCAGCUCAGCCGGACAGUCUCACGCACUACCUUUCUAAGCGCGUCUCUGUCUCUGCUCUCCUGCAUCCUGCGUGGCUCCCCGACACCCCUGCUGGAGAAUGCUCAUCAGCAGGCCCGAG
rnacentral:lncRNA from 1 species